GGCGCAUGCGUCCUGCUCUGCCGCCUCGUUACGCAUGCGGGGCCGGGGCCGUGCUGAGAGGCCUGCGGGGGGAAGGCUGCGGCGGCAGCGGCGUGGAGCGGCAGCGGGGCCGGGCCGGGCCGGGCCGAGGAGGGCUUUGCAGUGCCGGGAGCUGAACUGCUUUGCCCCAGCCCAGCUGCAGAUCUGCACUCAGCCUCAGCCCCAAGCCCUGGCAGGGUGGGAUGCUUUGGUACCAGGCCGUGGAGCUGUUUGAAAUGCAAUUGCUGCUUGCAGCUGGUUCAGAAAUGGAUUUCCUGUGGCUGUGGGGGCAGAAAUGUCUCUGUGCACACGCUCAGAGGACAGGUCCCUGGAUUGCAGUGCUGCUCCAAUGGCCUGUGGUGGCUGCAGGCAGCCGCGGCCCGGGGAGCCCAAGACUCAGCGUGUGGAAGGGUUGGGAGCAGCCCUGGGUGCCUGCAAGGAUUCGGGAGGUGAGCUGAGCAGGCCCGAGCAGGUCUGAAACCCUGCCACGGAGAGGCACAGGCCCCGCAGCAGUGCCUGCAUUUCAGCAGCUGCCCAUCGGAGCUAAGCACAGCCUCGGCUCAGAGGUUUGCACUUUGCUUUCCACUCCACUGGCCAAGCCAGCCAGAUGUGCAGCAGCAGCAGGAUGGGCACGAGGGCCCCAGCUGCUGCGGUGAAUCCGUCAGCACGGACGCUGGUGCCGCUGCAGCCUGGCCCUGCAGCCUGGCAGGGUGAUCUCCUUUGGCUCGGCUCCUGUGGGCUCCAGGUAGGGUUUGUCUGUGUCUGCCAGGAGGGAAGGGUUGAAAAGGAGAUUGCUCAGUCAGAGCUCUGACCUAGUAGCUGAAGAUUCUGUCCCAUGCAGAUGCUGACAGAGCAGCUGGAUGAGCAGAAAGCCUCUCGUGCAAACGGCUGUGGAGUGCUUCUCUCUGUUCCCUGCUGCUGGGAGGUGCUGACAGGUUAGGGUUUGCAGGGAGGCAGAUCUCGCGGAGAAGGGCUGAACUCACUGUGCAAGGACACUGCACAAUCCAGUGUGGAUCAAAAGCGAGUGACAACUUUAUUUAGUAGCCACACGCUUAUAUGUGUUACAGAUAAUUUAUGCAUACAUGUAAGAAGCUAAAUGGCUGAAUCCCUAAAUACCCCAUUUGCUCUGCUUGAGUUGUCUGCUGACUCGUCAAGGACAGUGCCUCCCUGGCUAGUUAUAUUAAAUGCUGCCUUUGUUUAUUCAAUAUGUCUUUGUUUCUGUGUGGCCUAGCACAGCCUUAAUUUAGUUCCAUAUACUCAUCCUGCUUGCCCACUUCUAAGUCAUGUCCAUUUUCCUUUAGCCGUUCUGCAACAAGGGUUAGUGGAGGGGUGUGAAGAAUUUGCAGGGAUCUCUAAGGGUCUGCAGACACCUUUGAAAGGUCUGAAGUUGUCUGUAGAUGUCUCUAGGGUGCUGCAGGGGUCUGCAGGCACCUCUUAAAUGUCUGGAGGGGUCUGUAGCUGUCUGUAGAGGUCUCUAGAGCUUUGUAGAGGAAUGUGGGUGCCUGCAGCUGUCUCUAGGGGGGUGUGGAGGUCUGCAGGCACCUUUCAAAUGUCUGGAGGGGUCUGCAGAGCUCUGUCAGGGUCUGUAGAUUUUGGCAGGGUUCUGUAGGAGUCUCUGGGCAGCUUUUAAAGGUGUGAAGGGGUCUGUAGCUAUUUGUCAGGGUCUGAGAGAGUCUGCAGAGGUCUGUAGAGUUGAGUAGGUGUUUGGAGGUUUCUGUGUGGGUCUGUAGGUGCCUGCAGGCAUCAGUGAAGGCUCUGGAGGGGUCUGUAGAUGUGUGCAGGGGUCUGUUAAAUAUCUGGAGAGGUCUGGAUGGGUGUGGGGAGCUCUGUAGGGGUCUGUAUGUGUUUGCAGGCACCUGCAGGGGUCCGUAGAUGCCUGUAGGGAUUUGCAGGGCUCUGUUAGUUCUCUGUAGAGGUCUGCCUGGGUCUGGAGGUGCCUUUUAAUGGGUCUGUGGAGGUCUGGAGAGCUCUGCAGUGGGCUGCAGUGGUCUGUUAAAGGUGUGGAGGGGUCUGUAGGUGUCUGCAUUAAGUGAAGGAGUUCUUUGGCUCCAGGACACUUUUGUCCAGUGUCUCUAAAGUGUGACUGUCCCAAAUGAGAUAGAGGUGCACUGGCAGCGUGUUUGCAGAUGGCCCCAAGCUGAGUGGUGCUGGAGAGCAAGCAGAGGGGCAGGAUGGCAUCCAGGAAACACCUGGGCAGGCAGGGGAGCUGGGCCCAGGCGAAGCUUGUGAGGUUCCAGGAGAGCAAGGGCAGGGUGCUGCGUGUGGGCGGGAGGAAGCCUGCCUGUGCCUGCGGGCUGGGGGCGGAGGCGAUAAAGAGCAGCCCUGGGGGUGCUGGGGAGAAGCUGAGUGCGAGCACAUGGUGUGAGCUUGCAGGCCAGGAGGAGCCUGUCGGUGUCUGCAGGGCUGUGCAAGCAGCUGUAGGAGUCUGCCCAGGUCUGUAGGUGUCUGCAGGGGUCUUCUAAAAGGCCUGGAGGCUUUUCUGAGUGUGCAGAGGUGUGCGGGGGUCUGGAGGCCUCUGUAGGUACCCUUAGGGGCCUGGAGGGCUCUCUGGGUGUCUGUGGAGGUGGUUAGGGGUCUGUAGAGGUGUCUGUGGUGCUGUAGGUGUCUCAAAAGGCUGUGAAGGUCUUGAGGUGCCUUGCAAAGGUCUCGAGGUGUCUGUAGAGGUCUGUAGGGGUCUGCAGGGCUCUAUGGAAAGGUCGGGAGGGGUCCCUAGAGGUCUCUAGGAGGCUGGAGGGGUGUGCAAGUGUCUGUAGCAUUCAGCAGGUGUGUGGAGGUUUCUGUUCUGGGCCCGCAGGUGUCUGCAGGCAUCUUGUAAAGGUCUGCAGGGGUCUGUGGAGCUCUGUCAGGCAUCUGUUAAGUGUCUGCAGGAAUCCAUUGAAGGUGUGGAGGGGGCUGCAGGGCUCUGCAGAGGAGGCUGUGGCUGUGUGUAGAGGUCUUAGGGGUGUGAAGAGUUUGCAGGGGUCUGUAAGGGUCUGCAGAGCCCUUGGAAAGGUCUGAAGUUGUCUGCAGGAGUCUGGAGAUGUCUCUAGGGCACUGCAGGGCUCUGCAGGGGUCUGCUGCUGCGGGAGGAGUGGGCUGGCGGAGCCACGCCCCCCGGGCUGCGGAGCCACGCCCCCUCCCUGGCCUUUCUUGCCUGGCUCUGGUUGCUGCCUCUUUAUUUGCAUAACCACACCCCUUUCCGUAGCCACGCCCCCUCCCCAUGCUGCGCCUGGCCCCGCCCUCUCGGCCCGCCCCCGCCCCACAGUAACUAAUUAUAUGGUGACAGAUUUGGAGCUUCCUUUGGAGGAGUAGUUCAGGAGGUGGCUGCUGAUUGGUGGAUUGUGAUGGGCGUGGUUUGCCGCUUGUUCUGCCUCCCUCAUUUGCAUACAUUUCAAUAUCAGGCUCUGCCUUUGAGUACCUUGAAGAUGUGUUGGGGGUUGGGGAGGGGUUACCAGGAGGGUCAGCAGCUGAUUGGUGGAUCCUGUGGGGGCUGUGGGCAUGGUCACCCCUGUGCCCCGCCCCCUCAUUUGCAUAAACGAAGGCAGGGUCCACCUGGCGGAGUUUGGUGCUUUAUUGGGCGGGGGGAACUGGUUAGGACAGGGAGGGUCAGCAGCUGAUUGGUGCGUCCUCUGGCGUGGGCGGGGCCUGCCCCUGCCCCGCCCCUCCGAAGUGCUCGAUGGUCUCCAGCACAGCCCCAGCAGCUCCAGGAAGGAGGAGACCUCCCCCCGCAGGCCUCCAGCCCCCCGGGAGACCCAGAGCCUGCGGGGGGAGGGCUCAGGGACCCCCAGACCCUCCCAGGGACCUCCAAUAACCUCCCAGGGACCUCUGAUGACCUCUCGGGGACCCCCAGACCCUCCCAGGGACCCUCAGACCCUCCUAGGGACCACCCAGGGACCCGCAGACCCGCCCACUGGCCUCCCAGAGACCCCCACUCACCUCCUUGUAUGCCCCCACUAAUCCCCCAGCCCCUCCCCGUCCCCGCCCAGCGCCCCCCAGUGCCCACUCAGGCCCUCAGCUUGUCCCCACAGCACUGCAGCCUGGCCUGGGGGCGCUGCUGAGGCCUCCCCCAGGGCCGGGCUGGGGGCUGCAGGCCUGGGCCCAGCGCCCUCAGUGCCACCUGUGCCAGGCCAGCAG